CCCUGAAGUGAUGUGAUGAUGUGUCUGUGACGUCACUGACUGACUGACUGGCCGGCCAGCGAGGCCUGAUGAAUUUAUAUUUGGCUGUACCUUCAGUUGCCCAGUGGGCCACUCAGCACGACAUCAGACAGCUGCUUGGGAAGGAUGAUCAGAUUUGAAUCAACAAAGCUCAUCUUGUUACACAGAUUAAUCAGACCAGCGGGUCCUUUGUGGCUCAUAUCCAUACGCUUCUCACGUUUCACACCGCUCCGCUUUCAGUCCACUCUGAACCUGACAUCCAGUCUUAUCAUGAAUUAUGAUUGCUCUAAUUCAGCUAAUGAUCAUUCAUAAGUCCACAGUUAUGAUGAAUAACUGAUAACCAGAUCAGUUUAUCUAAUUACUUAGUGUUAGGGGAUAAACCAGUCCUCAACAAAAGUCCAUUAGAACUCAACCUGGCCUUGUUUUCAUGAAGUGUUCAAGAAAGUCAGAGGGCUUUUCUUCAAUUAUGUUCCUGCCGUUAAAGUGAUCCAUGUUGCUAUGUGUUUGUGUGCAUGUACAGAAUGAAGGAUUGUUUGAUUGUUCUCUUGCAGAUCUUGAGGUAUCUGGACGCCUGUGAUCGGUUAUGUGAACUCGGCUAUGAUGAAGCUCAGGUUGAAGAAGCACUUGAGAUGUUUCAGAACUGUGAGAGCAAGGCUGAGGAGUUCCUUCACCUUCUUGCUCAGUUUGAUGAAAUGGGCUCUCUCUGGCUUAAAGUGUGACAUGGGUUCUUCUGGUGCAUGAGAACCACAGAGAGCGAGCGCUGGAGGAACUCAUGACCCGCGUGGCCUGAUCCAAUCCGUGUUAUGAUGCAAUGAAUUAGCUGCGAUCAUGGUUUGUGCUAUUCACCGGGCUCAUAUAGCUGUUGCUUUUUUAUCAUAUGCUGAACUGUGUUUAUUCAUUGCACAUUCUACACAUGUGUUGAGGCCUCGGGGACAAGCACAGUUUGACAGUCGACACCAAAGAAUGACUCUGUAACGGCAAAAAAUGUGUUUUCCAUAGCAAUCAAACUUUUGUU
ensembl:lncRNA